CAGACAUUACUGCUCUGAGAGCAUCCUUUCUCAAAGACAAGACACCGACUUUCGAAAUUGAGUUGUGUCAACCGCCCAAAUUCUUUGAAGAAAAUGAGCCGCAGGCUAGAAAGCAUACUAUAUGGCACAGUUCCUCUGAUUUCACAGAAGGCCAGGCAUCGAUUCACAGGAGACAUUCUCUUAGACUCUACUCUGACUUCCAUAAGCACUAUGAGAAGCUUUUAAAGUGUGCACAAAG